AAUGAACGUUGGCGGCGUGGAUUAGGCAUGCAAGUCGAGCGAGAAUUUGCGAUUGGAAGCUUCGGCCGAAGAAAGUGAAGGAAAGCGGCAAACGGCGUAGUAAGGCGUAGGUACGUACCCUCGGGUCGGGAAUAGCCAUGGGAAACUGUGGGUAAUGCCCGAUAAUCUCUGCGGAGCAAAGGUGUGAUUCCGCCGGAGGAGCGGCUUACGUGAUAUUAGCUAGUUGGUGGGGUAAUGGCCUACCAAGGCAACGAUGUCUAGGGGGUGUGAGAGCAUGGCCCCCCACGACCGGAACUGAGACACUGUCCGGACACCUACGGGUGGCUGCAGUCGAGAAUCUUCCGCAAUGGGCGCAAGCCCGACCAAGCGACGCUGCGUGCGGGAUGAAGGCCCUUGGGUUGUAAACCGCUGUCAGGGGGGAUCAAGGCGAAAGCUUGAGAGAGCCCCAGAGGAAGCACGGGCUAAGUUCGUG
rnacentral:rRNA from 1 species